UACGUAGGGAGCAAGCGUUGUCCGGAAUCAUUGGGCGUAAAGCGCGCGUAGGUGGCUUCAUAAGUCCGUUGUGAAAGUCAAAGGCUCAACCUUUGAAAGCCGAUGGAUACUGUGGAGCUAGAGUACGGAAGAGGCGAGUGGAAUUCCUAGUGUAGCGGUGGAAUGCGCAGAUAUCAGGAGGAACACCAAUAGCGAAGGCAGCUCGCUGGGACGUUACUGACGCUGAGACGCGAAAGCGUGGGGAGCAAACAGG
rnacentral:rRNA from 1 species